GACAAAGUCAACGUGGUUUUAUGAAAGGGAAAUUGCGUUUGACAAUUCUGAAAAUACAGAAAGCACAGUGAAGUGGAAAACUUCUGGGAAUUUAAUACGAUAUUGCAGAGAGGAAAGUAAUACAGUGGAUUCUGGUUAAAUGGGAAACAUCAGGACCAGCACAUUUCAGCCCAAUUAAGCACCUAACCCAGUUCGCUGAAGUUUGAUGAAAUCGGUUGGCAGAAGGGAAGAAGCUGCUCCUGAAAUGUUGAGUGCAUGACUUCAGGCAGUUGCACCUCUUUCCUAAUGGUAGCAAUGAAAACAGGGUAUGACAUGGGUCCUUAAUGAUGAAUGCCAACUUUUUGAGGCAUCGCUUCUUGAAGAUAUCCUGGAUAAUAUGAAGGCUAGUGCCCAUGAUGGAGCCUUCCAUCCAUCUGAUAGAACCACAAACUCCUUCCGAAUGCCUGAGAACUCUGCAAUUUCAUCAAGUCGGCAGAACUCAUCCCAAGAUGUUUUAGGAAGCCACUCUAAUGUGUUCUCGUAUGGAUUAUCCAAGCCAAUUCCACCUGUCAGCAGAAAGGUCCACUCCUGCUCUUCAAUCUGAAGAUAAAGUCUGCAAACAGAAGAGCCAUCAGGACCGCCACAGUGGCUGCUGAACAUUACUCUAGAUGGCUAUGGAUCAAGAGGCGCAACCCGUGGACCGGUGCUGCUGGGACACAAGCCAGGGCCUCAUCCACCCUGGCUGGGUUGCCUGGAUAGAGGGUGUCUGAUGUUGAAAAACCCGAAAAACCCGAUGACCCCAUCACUGACGAUGUGUGUCAGCACAUCCUCAGAUGUAUCUCUGCAUCUGGAAAUAGAGAAAACCGUACACUUUAAUCAAAUAUUGGAAGGGAUUAAGCUCAGGGUCUGUGAUUGUUGUCCAUUGAAAAUGAUGUGAAAGAAAACUAAAAUGUCAUAAAAGUAGCCUUUUACAAAGCCAAUAAACACUCAGAAAAGGUAUGCAAAACUGGACUUCUUGAUAUACACCCAACAUUUGAGAAAAGAGGCUUCACCGAGAGAAUGAAAGAUGGAACUGAAAUUCUAUAACACGUUUUCAAAACAAUAUAAUUUUCAUAAACAAUUUAAGGCAUGCAGAAGGCAAGAUUUAUUGCUUAUAGGGAAAGUUGACUACACCUACAUCAAAUAUCUGUUAAAGAUCAUUUAUAAAGCCCAUUUCACAAUAUCAAUUUGCCUCAAGGUUUUCCUUAACCAAAAAGCAACUUAGAGCUGUGAUGGUUGUUGUAAUAUAGGAAACCAAAGCAGUCUGCACCACAAAAGUAAAAUAAUCAGAAAACCUCUUUUAGCAAAGUUGCUGGUAAUAUCCAAAUCAGGUAAAUAUUGGCCAAAACAAUGCAAGAACUCCAUAGUUCUCCUUUCAAUAAUACAAAAAAAAGAUCUCAGUUUAAUAUUACUUCCAAAAAGGCAGCAGCUCUGACUGUUCAACACUCC